ARMMAAAGCAUUCGACAUUCGGANCACARCAUUCGACAACAUCAUUCGACAACAUCAUUCAACCACWACAUUCAACUCCAGCAUUCAACUACAGCAUUCGACAUUCGGACACAGCAUUCAACCACAGCAUUCAACCACAGCAUUCAACUACAGCAUUCAACAUUCGACCGCAGCAUACAACCACAGCAUUCAACAAAAGCAUUCGACAUUCGGACACAGCAUUCGACAACAUCAUUCGACAACAUCAUUCAACCACAAUAUUCAACCACAGCAUUCAACCACAGCUUCGACCACAGCAUUCAACCACAGUAUUAGACAUACGACCACAUCAUUCAACCACAGCAUUCGACCACAGCAUUCGACCACAGCAUUCGACAACAUCAUUCAACCACAAUAUUCAACCACAGCAUUCAACCACAGCUUCGACCACAGCAUUCAACCACAGUAUUAGACAUACGACCACAUCAUUCAACCACAGCAUUCGACCACAGCAUUCGACCACA
rnacentral:sRNA from 1 species